CCUACGGGUGGCAGCAGUGAGGAAUAUUGGUCAAUGGGCUUACGCCUGAACCAGCCAAGUCGCGUGAGGGAAGACUGCCCUAUGGGUUGUAAACCUCUUUUGUCAGGGAGCAACGCCGGCUACGUGUAGCCGGACUGAGAGUACCUGAAGAAAAAGCAUCGGCUAACUCCGUGCCAGCAGCCGCGGUAAUAGGGGGGAUGCGAGGGUUAUCCGGUUUUAUUGGGUUAAAAGGGUGCGCAGGCGGUGUGUUAAGUCAGCGUGAAAACCCGGGGGUUAAACCCAGACCCGCCGUUGAAACUGGCAGUCUCGAGAGGGGGAGAAGUAUGCGGAAUGCGCGGUGUAGCGGUGAAAUGCAUAGAGAUCGCGCAGAACUCCGAUUGCGAAGGCAGCAUGCCGGCUCCACACUGACGCUGAGGCACGAAAGCGUGGGGAUCGAACAGGAUUAGAUACCCGGGUAGUC
rnacentral:rRNA from 1 species